ACGAACGCUGGCGGCGUGCUUAACACAUGCAAGUCGUACGGUAAGGCCCUUUCGGGGGUCCACGAGUGGCGAACGGGUGAGUAACACGUGAGUAACCUGCCCACAACUUUGGGAUAACGCUAGGAAACUGGUGCUAAUACUGGAUAUGUGCUCCUGCUGCAUGGUGGGGGUUGGAAAGCUCCGGCGGUUGUGGAUGGACUCGCGGCCUAUCAGCUUGUUGGUGGGGUAGUGGCCUACCAAGGCGGCGACGGGUAGCCGGCCUGAGAGGGUGACCGGCCACAUUGGGACUGAGAUACGGCCCAGACUCCGACGGGAGGCAGCAGUGGGGAAUAUUGCACAAUGGGCGCAAGCCUGAUGCAGCAACGCCGCGUGCGGGAUGACGGCCUUCGGGUUGUAAACCGCUUUCAGCAGGGACGAAGCUUUUUGUGACGGUACCUGCAGAAGAAGCACCGGCUAACUACGUG
rnacentral:rRNA from 1 species